GUAGGUGAACCUGCGGAAGGAUCAUUAUCGAAAUACUGACGACGAGUUGUCGCUGGUUCUGUGCACGCUCGUCGUUCUUAAUUUCUCCAUCUAUUUGUGCACCCCUUGUGUGGAUCUGUCCCUCGGGACGAUUGGGGACUGCUUUGCGAAACGACCUUUUGCGGGCUUUCCUCGUGUAGAUCCUCAUUUUCUUCACAUACCACUUGUAAAUAGAGAAGGGUCGGAAUCAUAAAAUAUACAACUUUCAGCAACGGAUCUCUUGGCUCUCGCAUCGAUGAAGAACGCAGCGAAAUGCGAUAAGUAAUGUGAAUUGCAGAAUUCAGUGAAUCAUCGAAUCUUUGAACGCAUCUUGCGCUCCUUGGUAUUCCGAGGAGCAUGCCUGUUUGAGUGUCAUUAAUAUCUCAACCAUGCGCUUCCGCGCAUGGCUUGGACUUGGGGGGAUGAUGCAGGCUCCGACUCCAGUCGGUCUGCUCCCCUGAAAUACAUGAGCGAAAUGAAGGGCCUCUUUGUUGGGUGUGAUAGCUCUAUCUGCAUCCGAGGGGUCGUCCGCCUUCGCCGCUUUGGAUCUCAUUUCGACUUGACCUCAAAUCAGGUAGGACCACCCGCUGAACUUAAGCAUAUCAAUAAGCGGAGGAAAAGAAACUAACCAGGAUUCCCCUAGUAACUGCGAGUGAACCGGGAAGAGCUCAAAUUUGUAAUCUGGCGGUCUUUC
rnacentral:rRNA from 1 species